rnacentral:rRNA from 1 species
UGGGGAAUAUUGCACAAUGGGCGAAAGCCUGAUGCAGCAACGCCGCGUGAGUGAUGAAGGUCUUCGGAUUGUAAAGCUCUGUCUUUUGGGACGAUAAUGACGGUACCAAAGGAGGAAGCCACGGCUAACUACGUGCCAGCAGCCGCGGUAAUACGUAGGUGGCGAGCGUUGUCCGGAUUUACUGGGCGUAAAGGGUGCGUAGGCGGAUGUUUAAGUGAGAUGUGAAAUACCCGGGCUUAACUUGGGUGCUGCAUUCCAAACUGGAUAUCUAGAGUGCAGGAGAGGAGAAUGGAAUUCCUAGUGUAGCGGUGAAAUGCGUAGAGAUUAGGAAGAACACCAGUGGCGAAGGCGAUUCUCUGGACUGUAACUGACGCUGAGGCACGAAAGCGUGGGUAGCAAACAGGAUUAGAUACCCUGGUAGUCCACGCCGUAAACGAUGAGUACUAGGUGUAGGAGGUAUCGACCCCUUCUGUGCCGCAGUAAACACAUUAAGUACUCCGCCUGGGAAGUACGAUCGCAAGAUUAAAAC